rnacentral:rRNA from 1 species
UACGAGGGGGGCAAGCGUUGUUCGGAAUUAUUGGGCGUAAAGGGCGCGUAGGCGGUUUGGCAAGUUUGGUGUGAAAUCUUCGGGCUCAACUCGAAGUCUGCAUCGAAAACUGCCGGGCUUGAGUAUGGGAGAGGUGAGUGGAAUUUCCGGUGUAGCGGUGAAAUGCGUAGAUAUCGGAAGGAACACCUGUGGCGAAAGCGGCUCACUGGACCAUAACUGACGCUGAGGCGCGAAAGCGUGGGGAGCAAACAGG